rnacentral:rRNA from 1 species
AAUCAACGCUGGCGGCGUGCCUAACACAUGCAAGUCGAACGAGAAAGUGGAGCAAUCCAUGAGUAAAGUGGCGCACGGGUGAGUAACACGUGACUAACCUACCCUUGAGUGGGGGAUAACCUAGGGAAACCUGGGCUAAUACCGCAUAAUAUCGAGAGAUCAAAGGAGCAAUUCGCUUAAGGAGGGGGUCGCGGCUGAUUAGCUAGUUGGUGGGGUAAUGGCCCACCAAGGCNGUGAUCAGUAUCCGGCCUGAGAGGGCGCACGGACACACUGGAACUGAAACACGGUCCAGACUCCUACGGGAGGCAGCAGUGGGGAAUUUUGCGCAAUGGGGGAAACCCUGACGCAGCAACGCCGCGUGGA